UUAAAAAUUAUUCAUUUUGUUUCGUUAAUGUAAUUUAAAAAUUAAAUUAUUUACUAGAAGCCCCGACAAGAAAUAAUUACAUUUUUUAUUUCAAAAAACUUGUUUUUUUUGUGUGUUUUUUUCUCAGGUUGGAGUGGUUAAUCUGUUCCUUUACAUGAUAAUGUAUACUCAGAUGCAUCUUGUAAUGUGCAAUUGCAAGUUUCCAAAUAUAUGCAAAGUAAAGUAAGUAAAGAAAACAAUACUUUUCAAUUAGUAAAUUCAGUAUUAUUUAUUAAUUUUAAUUUUUUACGUUUUUUAUCCUUAUUUUUAUAACAUGAUCAAUUAAAAUGCACUAGAACAUUGUUCUGGUGCAUUUUAAUUGAACGAAGUAUAGAAUUUUAAUUUAUUAACCUGGGUAAAUAAAUUUCCAAUUGAGAAAGUUGAUAGAGUUGCAGCAUUUUUAGAGAAAUAUCAAUGUUUCCCUAAUGUGCUAUUGGUAAAAAUUUUUUUUUUUUCAUUUGUGAUUUCAUAUAUUUAUUGGAUAAAAUGAAAUACCCAAAUACAAAUGAAAUACUCAAAUACAGGUAGGUAUGCAUGCAAACACAACCCUCAAAAUUAGUAAAACUAAAAUGAGUUAUAAAUUGUCGACAUUUUAAGAUAUGAAAAGAUAUUAUUGUUAAAUUUUGAGUUUGUAAAAUUUAUUUUCAGGUACAAGAAAUCCUUAUCUGUACGUAACAGACGAUGGAGACAAAGUGAUUAUUAUGUGUGGCAAAAGAUUAUUUCAUGAAGUUUUUCAUUUUCUGACUUCGUGAUGGAACUUAUUGGAGUACACUUUUUUUGGACAUGGGUGGAGUAUUGCCGCUACAAGCAUGAACAAUAAUGAAACAUUCCAAAGAAUAAUUUGUUAUUUCAACGAUUAGAUUUUUUGUUUAAAUGUAUAAAUGCUUGUUG